GACGAACGCUGGCGGCGUGCUUAACACAUGCAAGUCGAGCGGUAAGGCCCUUUCGGGGGUACACGAGCGGCGAACGGGUGAGUAACACGUGGGUGACCUGCCUUUAGCUCUGGGAUAAGCCUGGGAAACUGGGUCUAAUACCGGAUAUGACUCCGCGGUGCAUGCUGUGGGGUGGAAAGCCUUGUGCGGCUGGAGAUGGGCCCGCGGCCUAUCAGCUUGUUGGUGGGGUGAUGGCCUACCAAGGCGACGACGGGUAGCCGGCCUGAGAGGGCGACCGGCCACACUGGGACUGAGACACGGCCCAGACUCCUACGGGAGGCAGCAAGUGGGGAAUCUUGCGCAAUGGGCGAAAGCCUGACGCAGCGACGCCGCGUGAGGGAUGACGGCCU
rnacentral:rRNA from 1 species